rnacentral:lncRNA from 10 species
AAAAUAAAAAAAAAAGAAUUAGCCGGGCUUGGUGGCGGGCGCCUGUAGUCCCAGCUACUCUACUCGGGAGGCUGAGGCAGGAGAACGGCAUGAACCCGGGAGGCGGAGCUUUCGGUGAGCAAAAAUUGCGCCACUGCACUCCAGCCUGGGAGACAGAGCGAGACUCCGUCUCGGGAAAGAAAAAAAAAAAAAAAGGUAUUUGGAUGACUCAGAAUAGGCCACCAUCGCUGUUGGGAAACUCCUAGUCCUGCCCUGUGCAAACCAACUGCAGCUUAAUUGUCUCUGACUGGCAAUUGCUACCACCCUCCUACCAUUCCCAUCAUGUAGGAGAGCUGCUAGGAGGUCCACUCACUUUGUCACUAGCACCCAAAUUCAAAGGCACUAGAAAGAAGCUAUCACUCCAAACCCUCUACAUACCAGCAAGAAGGAGGUUGGUGCUGCAGUACCUGGAUAUUCCAAAUUGGCCAAUCUCUCCCAAUCUCUCCAAUAUACAAAGAUCGGGGGGAAAAAAUGACUAAAAAUUAUCCUCCCACAUAGUGAUUUUAAUUCCCGGUAGAAAUGUAAGUGGAAGGAAGCCAAAGAUGAAUUCAGUACAAUAAUAUCAUGAUUAACAAAGUCUUGGGAUGAACAUUUCAUCAACACAAUCACUCUGGGAUAAUGCCUGGGUGGAUGAGAUACUUGAGUAGCUUCUGCUUCUACAUGUCCUAGAACCAGCAGAGGGAAAGGGCCUGUCCCUAAGACCCCUCCAGCUGGGAACAGAGCCUGCAGCCCCAGAGAUGCCUGAGGAACCCCCUCUGUGGCCAGCCUAUCUCCACCUUCGUCUUUGCUCUUCCACCUUCCCCAAACUGAACAUGGUUUGUUUUAAGGGAAAGAGCAGCUAGUGGCUUCCACAAGAUCCAGCCCAAAAGUAAUGCACAUUCUGGCACUUAACCCGAAUCUCCUGCAACCUCUUCUCAUCUUCAUGAAGCUUCUGACAAGGAAAUGUGGCUAUACUAUAUCCUCCUCUUUGUUCACCAAGCUCCUUCCACUCCUCCUUCAGUGUGCCGAAGAGAUACUGAGUUCUUCCAGAUUUUUGCUUAGCUGGGUAGUUUCUAAACUCAACAGACUCUCCAGCAUGCCUGCCCCUCGUCCUGACAUAACUGAUUAGGAAAUGAUUUCUAAAUGGUCAAGAGUCCAGCCUCGAUAGCCACUUCUCUGAUUCCAACAGAAUUUCUACAGAAGACAAUUUCCUUGUCUCAGCAAGGAGGGAAUACAGAUGAAUUGGCAGGAUCAGGAGCAGCCAUGUUGCACCAAGAGAAGAUGAAAAAAGCAUAUGUUGCAGAUUGCAAAGUAACUAGGUAAGCAUUUGAGUCCCUAAAACUAUUCCUGGUAUGACUGGUAGCGGCAUACUAGCUUGGACUUUUUUGUGUCAGAGAAAUAAACCUUCAUCUCACUUAAAUCAGUAUUAUUUGGGGCCACUCUCUCUGUAGUAGGAGUGAAACUAGUAUCCUAACUAAUUUAACUGUCAAAAGAAAAAAAAAUAUGAGGCGAGAAAAUAAGGAAUCAAGAAACAAAAGUCAAGUUUUACUCACUUCAUAGCUUGGCUCAAAAGCAACUUUAAAUAUGUGAGAAAUGCAACAAAUGAUAAUCAUGCAUACAGAGAAAUUCCUCAAGUGACAAAUGCUUUUACUUUCAUUUCCUUUCUUGAAAAUUGACAGAGUAAGAUUCAGAUGCAUGUACUGACACUCACGUCAGUAACAUCGGCUCAGGUUAGACUUUGGUCGUCUUAUCCUUCGACUACCUAAGGGACUCAUGGCCAGUAUAUUUUACAACCCCCAGUGCCAGUUACUGAAUUCUCACCUGAGAAUGAAUUCCCUAAGUCUGUAAUGUUUCAUCAUCUUGCAACACAGAUAAGCCUGUGUUUAGAGCAGGCUUUUCCAUAUGAGUCCCUCCUCUUUCACACUGGGGCUGAGUAGAAGGUGAUUGACCUGCCUGAGACUUUAUCAGUUUGGAGUUCAUGUUCCAUGUGGUGUUGGAGGGAGCAAUGGAGGCUGUGAAAUCAGACAUCCUGCUUUUUGACAGGGUUGUUUGAUGACUCACCCAAGCCAUUUUUUAUUCUCGGUGCAUAUUCUAGUUUCCCUUCUCCCGACAGUAGCCUGAUGCACCUGUGCUUGCACUGUCCUUAAGCCUGUUGCUAUUGUUAUGUGGUGUCACUGAGCCCAACACUGCGUGCGUGUGUGUGUGUGUGUGUGUGUGUGUGUGUGUUGAAAGGGGUAGGAAAGUGAGGAUGAUUUUCAACCAUUAAACCCUUAAGGGGCCAUCUUCUGAAGCCUGGCAUCAUCAUUUUUGUUCUCAAGAACAUUUAAGUCAAAAAUAACAAGGUUCCUUUUGCUCAUCUUCAAAUUAUUUUACUUGUUUGAUCCAACUGCUAACUAGAAGGUGAAUUCUUUCUGCUGUCAUUUCAUAAUUCUAGUGUAUUAAAAAGAGAUGGGGGCUGGGCACGGUGGCUCAUGCCUGUAAUCCCAGCACUUUGGGAGGUCAAGGUGGGAGGAUCACUUGAGGCCAGGAGUUCAAGACCAGCCUGAGCAACAUAGCAAGGCCUCCUACAAAAAAUUUUAAAAAUUAGCUGGGCAUGGUGACACCCACCUGUAGUCCCAGCUGCUUGGGAGGCUGAGGCAGGAGGAUUGCUUGAGCCCAGGAGUUUAAGGUUGCAAUGAGCUUCAAGUUUUUAUACCUUCAAUCAUACCAUUUGUGGCUUAGGAACCCCUAAUAUAUUACAUGGAGGGUAAUGUAGACACCAAGAAAAUGAUUGAAAACAAUUUAUGCCUAAAUACAUUUGUAUUCUUCUUUAGAGAAACCUAGUAGACAAACUAAAAGCUACUAAGCAAAUAAAUCAAGGUACUGUAUUUUACAAAAUGACUCAAUUUAUGCAUCAUUUAAAGAGUGUGGAUCCCUUGGGAACUUUAAACAUGGUUGCAUUAGUUAAACAGUUGCUUCAUUCAGAUCCCUCUAGGAACUUGGGCAGCACAAGGGAAGGGGGGCCUCUGUUCCUACUGUGUGGUCCUGGUGAUCUGUGUAGGUAUCUUCUUUUACCGGGUUAAGUGAUAAAAACGGUGUCUUGUGCUCUUUUAUCCAAGUCCAA